UACGUAGGGUGCGAGCGUUGUCCGGAAUUAUUGGGCGUAAAGAGCUCGUAGGCGGUCUGUCGCGUCUGCUGUGAAAUCCCUCGGCUCAACCGGGGAACUGCGUCUGAUACUGGGUGGCUUGAAUUCGGGAGAGGGAUGCGGAAUUCCAGGUGUAGCGGUGAAAUGCGUAGAUAUCUGGAGGAACACCGGUGGCGAAGGCGGCAUCCUGGACCGAGAUUGACGCUGAGGCGCGAAAGCCAGGGGAGCAAACGGG
rnacentral:rRNA from 1 species